rnacentral:rRNA from 1 species
CCAGCUCCAAUAGCGUAUAUUAAAGUUGUUGCAGUUAAAAAGCUCGUAGUUGAAUUUCGGGGUUAGUAGGCUGGUCAUGCCUCCGGUAUGUACUGGUCUCACUGAUUCCUCCUUCCUGAUGAACCGUAAUGCCAUUAAUUUGGUGUUGCGGGGAAUCUGGACUGUUACUUUGAAAAAAUUAGAGUGUUUAAAGCAGGCUAACGCUUGAAUACAUUAGCAUGGAAUAAUGAAAUAGGACGUUCGAUCCUAUUUUGUUGGUUUCUAGGAUUGACGUAAUGAUUAAUAGGGAUAGUUGGGGGCAUUAGUAUUCAAUUGUCAGAGGUGAAAUUCUUGGAUUUAUUGAAGACUAACUACUGCGAAAGCAUUUGCCAAGGAUGUUUUCAUUAAUCAAGAACGAAAGUUAGGGGAUCGAAGACGAUCAGAUACCGUCGUAGUCUUAACCAUAAACUAUGCCGACUAGGGAUCGG